UCAAGCUGAAAAGAGCGCAAGGGGAAUGCCUUGGCAUCAGGAGCCGACGAAGGACGUGACAAGCUGCGAUAAGCCACGGGGAGGAGCAAAUAUCCGUUAUAUCCGUGGAUUUCCGAAUGGGGGAACCCGCUCAAGCAAUACUUGAGCAUCGUGCGUUGAAUCAAAUAGGCGUACGAAGGGAACGGCCUGAACUGAAACAUCUAAGUAGGGCCAGGAAAAGACAUCAACCGAGAUUCCGCUAGUAGUGGCGAGCGAACGCGGAGGAGGCCAAACCGGAGGAUUUUAUUCUCCGGGGUUGCGGACAGACAUCAUGACCAGAGGAAGUUAGGAGAACGGCGUGGGAAAGCCGGCCACAGAAGGUGAGAGCCCUGUAUCUGAAAAUGAAGACUGGCAGUCUGGAUCCAGAGUACCGCGGGACACGUGAAACCCCGUGGGAAACCGGGUGGACCACCAUCCAAGCCUAAAUACUACCUGAUGACCGAUAGAGGAGCAGUACCGUGAGGGAAAGGUGAAAAGGACCCCGGGAGGGGAGUGAAAGAGAACCUGAAACCUUGUGCUUACAAGCAGUCAAAGCACGUUAAAGUGUGAUGACGUACUUUUUGUAGAACGGUCCGGCGAGUUAUAGUAACGAGCAAGCUUAAGGUAUUGAGUACCGGAGGCGAAGCGAGAGCGAGUCUGAAUAGGGCGUAAAGUUCGUUGCCAUAGACCCGAAACCGGGUGACCUAUCCAUGAGCAGGCUGAAGUGAGAGUAAAAUCUCAUGGAGGGCCGAACCGACCCCCGUUGCAAUGGUGGCGGAUGACUUGUGGAUAGCGGAGAAAUUCCAAUCGAACUCGGAGAUAGCUGGUUCUCCCCGAAAUAGCUUUAGGGCUAGCGUUAUGUUAGAUUACCGGAGGUAAAGCACUGAAUGGUGGCGGGGCCGAUAAGGUUACCAAGACCUAUCAAACUCUGAAUGCCGGAUAAUUGAUGCAUAGCAGUCAGACAGCGUGAGAUAAGUUUCGUUGUCAAAAGGGAAACAGCCCAGACCCACAGCUAAGGUCCCAAAUUCAUGCUAAGUGGAAAACGAUGUGGAAUUGCGAAAACAACCAGGAUGUUGGCUUAGAAGCAGCCACUCAUUAAAAGAGUGCGUAAUAGCUCACUGGUCGAGUGACUCUGCGCGGAAAAUAUAACGGGGCUAAGCAUGAAACCGAAGCUUGGGCUUGUCGAAAGACAGGGGUAGGGGAGCGUCGAGUAUGGGGUGAAGUCAGAGCGGAAGCACUGGUGGACUGUACUGGAGUGAGAAUGCCGGAAUGAGUAGCGAGAAUUAUGUGGGAAUCAUAAUGGCCGAAAAUCUAAGGUUUCUUGGGGAAGGUUCGUCCGCCCAAGGUAAGUCGGGAGCUAAGCUCAGGCCGAGAGGCGUAGGCGAUGCACAUACGGUAGAAAUUCCGUAACCACCGAAACUUAAACAGAGGGACACUUCGAAAUAGCGGAACCCGGGCGUUGGUUGACCCGGGCGAAAGGGAGCGAAAUAAGAGUAGCGAAGUCCGCGAUGUUCGGAGGCGAGAAAAGCUCUGAGGUAUGCUAAGGUGCCCGUACCGCAAACCGACACAGGUAGAUGAGGAGAGAAUCCUAAGGCCAACGGGAGAAGGGUUGUUAAGGAACUCGGCAAAUUGACCCCGUAACUUCGGAAGAAGGGGAGCCCCCUACGGGGGGUCGCAGAGAAAUGGCCCAAGCAACUGUUUACCAAAAACACAGGUCUAUGCUAAAUCGAAAGAUGACGUAUAUGGGCUGACGCCUGCCCGGUGCCGGAAGGUUAAGAGGAGAUGUCAGGCAACGAAGCAUUGAAUUUAAGCCCCGGUAAACGGCGGCCGUAACUAUAACGGUCCUAAGGUAGCGAAAUUCCUUGUCAGGUAAGUUCUGACCCGCACGAAUGGCGUAAUGAUUUGGGCACUGUCUCAACAGCCCGCCCGGCGAAA
rnacentral:rRNA from 1 species